AAGUCGUAACAAGGUUUCCGUAGGUGAACCUGCGGAAGGAUCAUUACUGAGUGAGGUGCUGAGUGGCUGCGUAAGCAGUCAUUCACAUAUGCCCGCUCCCGCAAGGGAGUAGGAUCUGGAGUUGAUGUAGAGGAGUCGCGUCGAGUGGUUGAGAUUUGCAAGAGUCAAUGCUGCUUCACAUACCGCACUCUACAUUGGCUUCAAAAUACCUUUUUUAUUUUAGUCAUCACACACUUUUAAAUUACAAUGACUUUUAACAAUGGAUCUCUGGGCUCCU
rnacentral:misc_RNA from 1 species